UGUCUCCUGAACUCCCUUUUUUUUAUCUUCUUGUUUUCAGCUCAGUAUACGUCAGGCCAAGACACGUCACUCAGUAUCUCUACUAAAGAAAUAGCGCGCUCAUCAGCUUCAUCGCCAAGUCCCCUUCGCCAGGUGGUGGAGAAAAGCCUUUUCUCCUUACUGUUUAUCCCACUGCUGGCCCUAAUCUUCCUGCUUGUGUGGAAGGUCAGGUCAAGAAGGAACGUAGAGCAUCCUCGAUCAAAUCGUGGAGAAGAAGAAAGCUUUACAGAGCCGAUGGCACCUCAGCCAGCCGGUGAAACGUCAGAAAAAAAUGCGCUGAACAUCCCUGCAGAAGUGUAAAGCUCUGCAAGUUAGAGUGCGCCAGCAUAUUUUGGCUGUGCUCUUCUCUCUCUUUUUUUUCAUCUGUUGGUGUUCAAAGGUGAACGACAAACACGGACCUGCACACCACAGUGAGACUGCAGAG